rnacentral:misc_RNA from 1 species
ACGCACGCCUUCAGAGCUUUUUUUCCUUCAAUUGCGUUUUCAGAAGUUUCUUGUGUGCUUUCAUCGACGGCACUCGUUCCCCACACCACGGACGACACACACACACACACACACGUAUAGACUGCGUUCUACAUAAACGGCCAUGUCGACCCUGCGCCACUCGCACGAGUCCUCCCCUUAUGUGCAGAAGGGGGAGGACCUCUCCGGCCAGAAGCUGACCCCCACCAUCAAGUCCUACAGAAACAUGGAGUUUCUCAACAGCUACUCAGGGCGCAUGAUCCGCAUCUUGUGCGAAUUCGAGGAACCCAAACAGCGCCUUCAGCAGCACUUUAUCCGCACCACAGUUCUCUUCUUCGGCAGUGCCCGCUCCAUGACUCAGGCGCAGUACGACAGCACCGUCCAAAACAUCCACUCCAAACUGGCAGCCGUGACAGACGACAGCACGAAGGCGAGCCUUCAGAACGAGCUCGCUCGCCUGAAGAAGACGCAGUGGAUGUGCAAGUGGGUCGACGUGGUCGAAAAGCUGGCGAGAAUGGUGGCCGAGUUCUCUCAGAAGGAGCAGGACAUGAUCAUCCGAAGUUUCAGGUACAUUCCGGACUACUUCAGGCUUACUCCAGAAGAUGGGUCGGAGUCCCUGGACGACUUGCAGAAGCGCUUUCACGAUCUGGUCGUCACUACAGGUGGCGGCCCCGGAUUCAUGGAGGCGGCGAACCACGGUGCAGAGUCGGUACCUGGAGCUGUGACAAUGGGCAUGGGUAUCUCCCUCCCGUUUGAGAAUGGACUCAACCCCCACGUGACGAAGGGGCUGGCAUUUGAGUUCCACUACUUCUUCACCCGCAAGUUUUGGAUGAUGUACUCGUGCCGCGCCAUAGUCGUCGCCCCAGGUGGGUUUGGCACGCUGGACGAGAUGUUUGAGCUGCUCACUCUGAAACAGACGAAGAAAAUACCUUCGUUGCCAGUGGUGUUGCUCGGCAAGGAGUUUUGGCAGACGGUCGUCAACUGGCAGGCUCUGGCUGACUACGGCGUGAUAUCGCAGGAGGAGAUCGAUAGCUUGCUCUUUACCGACUCCGCGGAAGAGGCGGUCGAGCACAUUAAAGAUUUUUACCACCGCUUGGCAAGUGAUUCGCCCAGCGCGGAGUGAAUCCGAAGCUGCUGCCCAGCUUGCCGUCACCUACACUCCCUCCCACACACACACAUGCUGGACGCGUCUUUCCUCAUCCCACAGGGGGUGCGUGUGCGUCUCUGUGCGUGCCCUUUCUUUUAGACUUGGCUCUCUCGUUAUUUGCGCAUGCGCGAUAGUCACUCGCUCACCCUCCCUUUCUUCACUCUAACUAGCCAUGCAUACUAAGGAUCCCAGCAUUUCUAUUUCCGUUUCCCUUUCUCUUUCCUCCUGUGAGUGCGAGGCGCGUGCUCGUAGCUUUCAGACUCGUGCGGCUGUUGCCGAUCACAGAAGAGCCACACAUUUCCUCUGUGCAAAGAUUGCUGCGGUUUUGAACAUGCACGCUCGCACAUGCAAG